GCUACGCCCCUCUAUAUAAAACGAUGCAGCGGUGGCCGCCUUGACAGCCCCUGCCCAGAAGUACUUCUGGAUCAGGCGAGGCGGGGCUGGGCUGGACUGGGCUGGACUGGACUGAGCAGCGCAAAGCGGAGGGGAGCUGAGCCACCCCUGCCCCUGGUCGGUCCCGGGCAAUGAUCGAUGGAGGCGAGCAGCCUCCUCUGCCCGGCGCCUGUGUGAGGGGGCGAGCCCAGAGUCCCUGCUGCUCAUUGCACAACCACCGCGGCCAGCUCAGCAGCCGGAGCCGCCGCUGCCACGGCCGCGCGGGACCCCUGGAGCCCUGAAGUUUGGCCCUUCGGUCCCCAAGAGUUACUUUGCGAGGCUCCGUCUGCUCCGGCGCCGGUAACUGACAAGACGCGGGCGCCCCGGGCAGUGAAUGCAGCCCAGCCCCCAGCAGGGCAUUGCCAACGCUCCUACUUGGUCCCCUGCCUCAGAGCCAGCAAACCAUAGUGAAAGGGAGAGGAACUGGACUGGACCCGUGAUUUCAUCGGGAUACAGAACUCCCAAUGCAGAAGACUCCCUCCUCCACUGGAUCAGCAUCUUCUGUACAACUCAAAAGAAAAUAAUAAUGUUAAUAAUAAUAAUAAUGAGAAGGGGGUGGGUAGACCGAUAUACCAACUGAGAUUGAUAGGCUAUGCAAUUCUUCACGCCCAUCAUCCUUUCCCUUUGCAAAGAAGAGAGGGGGACACAUUUUUUUCUCAUCUUUUCAUCAGUGAUGAGUUUGAUCAUUUUAAUUACACAGCAUGAAUUUUGGGACUUCUGUUGUUUUCAUUUACAUCACUGUGGUCCCUGUGUAUAUUAUUUUCCUAACGUGGGCUCUUUUUUACCAGAAGCAAAUCGUCCAACCACAAGCUUUUGAGCAGGUGCAGUAUUAGAGUCUAAUUGGUUGAGAAAAUAUAUAAUGGCUGAAAAAAGACUGUGAGUGUUGUGAUGCUUUUCAAGGUUUUUUUUUAUUAUUUUUACUCAUCAUAGCAGCACAUACACAACAUUUGAAAAAAUAGAAAUGCAUGUGUGUGACAUUAUUAAAUCUAUAUCAGGAUAUGUUUAUAUGCUUCUUUACGGAUUUUCAAACCCUUUGCAAAAUCUGUGGUCCCUCAGUGUUGCAAAGCAUAAAGAUGUAUUGUAUUGUUGACAGAUUACUAGAGAAAUAAGUUAUACAAAGUCAGAAAGUAUUGUCUGUAUUUAUUUUUAACAUUACUUUUCUAUGUUCAUAUCAUGUCCCUCAAUUGAAUGUAAGCUGCUUGAGAGUAGCCUAUGUUGAUUUUUGAUUUUUGUAUUCCCAAG
rnacentral:lncRNA from 1 species